AAGCGCUGUGAGGCGUUGAGCUAACCAAUACUAAUUGCCCGUGAGGCUUGACCAU
rnacentral:rRNA from 3 species